GUCUACAGCCAUGCCACCCUAAACGAGACCGAUCCCGUCUGAUCUCGGAAGCUAAGCAGGGUUGGGCCUUGUUAGUACUUGGAUGGGAGACCACUUAGGAAGACCAAGUGCUGUAGGCA
rnacentral:rRNA from 1 species